rnacentral:rRNA from 1 species
GUUACGACUUCACCCCAGUCAUGAAUCCCACCGUGGUAAGCGGCCUCCUUACGGUUAGCCUACCUACUUCUGGUGAAACCCACUCCCAUGGUGUGACGGGCGGUGUGUACAAGGCCCGGGAACGUAUUCACCGCGGCAUGCUGAUCCGCGAUUACUAGCGAUUCCGACUUCAUGCACUCGAGUUGCAGAGUGCAAUCCGGACUACGAUCGGUUUUGUGAGAUUGGCACCCCCUCGCGGGUUAGCGACCCUCUGUACCGACCAUUGUAUGACGUGUGAAGCCCUGGUCAUAAGGGCCAUGA